rnacentral:rRNA from 1 species
AUACGUAGGGUGCAAGCGUUAAUCGGAAUUACUGGGCGUAAAGCGUGCGCAGGCGGUUUUGUAAGACAGUGGUGAAAUCCCCGGGCUCAACCUGGGAACUGCCCUUGUGACUGCAAGGCUGGAGUGCGGCAGAGGGGGAUGGAAUUCCGCGUGUAGCAGUGAAAUGCGUAGAUAUGCGGAGGAAAACCGAUGGCGAAGGCAAUCCCCCGGGCCUGCACUGACGCUCAUGCACGAAAGCGUGGGGAGCAAACAGGAUUAGAUACCCUGGUAGUCCACGCCCUAAACGAUGUCAACUGGUUGUUGGGGAUUUAUUUUCUCAGUAACGAAGCUAACGCGUGAAGUUGACCGCCUGGGGAGUACGGCCGCAAGGUUAAAACUUAAAGGAAUUGACGGGG